rnacentral:rRNA from 1 species
ACAGAGGGGGCCAGCGUUAUUCGGAAUUAUUGGGCGUAAAGGGCGCGUAGGCGGCCAUGCGUGUCUUCCGUGAAAUCCCUCGGCUUAACUGAGGACGUGCGGAAGAAACUGCAAGGCUUGAGUCCGGGAGAGGGGGGUGGAAUUCCCAGUGUAGCGGUGAAAUGCGUAGAUAUUGGGAGGAACACCGGUGGCGAAGGCGGCCCCCUGGACCGGUACUGACGCUGAUGCGCGAAAGCGUGGGUAGCAAACGGGA